AAUUGACUGGAUCUUUUACUUCAGUUUAGAACUCAGGACUGCUCAAGGAUAUUCAAAUUUUUACAUCUCUAGUUUACCCAAGAUACUUGCCUGCAGAAUUUCUUUCCUAAAAUUCUAUUGUCAAGACUUUGCUGUGGACGAAUCUCAACAAAACUAAAGGCAUGAGGCAGCUUUGGUCACCAAACCAGGCAUCAAGAUAGGAUGAACAAAGGACUGCCAUCUACUCUCUCCCUGACUGAUGUAAAAACAACACAAGAAAGAGCCAACUGGUAUUACCUUACUGAAGCCUAUAUAUAGCCUAAAUCUUCUGGGAACAUGUACAGGACACCUGAACAUCAGAAUGAUCCUGGUAAUGCCUAAACAUGAACUGAACAAGAAUGAACCAAUCCACAUGCUUGUAUGGAUGGGAAAUCUCAGGAGGUCUCAACCCUAUUCAAAGAACUACAGGCACAGGGGAUGGAGCAGAGACUGAGGUAAUGGCAAACC
rnacentral:sRNA from 1 species